AUGUGGGACACGGUGGUGGCCAGAGUCCCUUGUGACAUCAGGGAGCCCCACCCUUCACUGGGGGUAUUUAAGGGGCGCAGGGCCCUGGAGUGCUCAGUCCCAGGAGCGCCGCUCUGCGAGGAGGACGCAGCUCCCAGGAUCUCUUUGCGCUUGCGGAAGGUUGCAAAAAAAGCGAAGAUGGAGAAGAAGCCCAACUCCCAGACCACCCAAGGCCCACUGAUGAACCUGCGUAGGAGGCCAAGAGCAAUGGAAGGGGAAGUGCCAGAGGUGCAGCCCCAGCAGCCGCUGGCAGUGCCACGCUGUGAGGAGGAAGCAGAGGCCUUGAUCCAUCUGCGCUUGAGGAUGAUAGAAAUUAUGGAGAAGAAGCCCAACUCCCAGGCCACCCAAGACCCACUGCUGAGCCUGCAGAGGGGGCCAAGUGUGAGGGAUGAGGCAGUUCCAGAGGUGCAGCCCCGGCAGCUGCAGACAGUGCCGCUCAGUGAGGAGGAAGCAGAUGCCUUGAUCUGUCUGCGCUUGAGGAUGAUAGAAAUUACGGAGAACAUGGAGAAAACGGAGAAGAUGAAGAAGAAGCGCAACAACCAGGCCCCCCAAGGCCCACUACUGAGCAAGCGAAGGCUGCCAAGUGUGAGUGAUGAAGCAGGUAAGAGAGGCCAGCAGAUGGAGAGGGCCAGGAUCUUUGCUCUGCCGAGGGAGCCGUCUCCAUCUCGCACCUCACCCUCAUCCUGCUCCUCGCUGGUGCCCAACAAGCUGCCACCAGUGCACCUCGGUCAGCCAAAGGUGGGACCCAGAAAUCUUCAGCCCCUCGCGGUCCCAGAGGUGCAGCUGAGGCAGCCGCAGGCAGCGCCGCAGGGCAGCCGCAGCCAGGCCCUGUCCCUCUGUGGGGACAGGCUGCCACCGCUGCCACCUGUGCCACGGCCGCCAGCACUGCCCCGCCUGCUGAGCCCCAGGGACCCUGAGAGCCGGGGCACAGAGCUGGGCAGUGCAGGGGAGAAGGGCCCCCCCCCCCCCCCCCCCCCCCCCCCCCCCCCCCCCCCCCC
rnacentral:lncRNA from 1 species